GCGAGCUGCUGUGUGCCCACCUGCUCUCGCUUCUCCUUAAAGGCCACAGCGCCGGAGACAGUCGGAGGAGAGCUCGGAGAAGGAAGCGGCGGGAGGAGCUUUCCUUGGCACACAUGUGCCAAACGCGAGUGAAUCACUCAUAGCAACGGUGCCGGUGAAGUGUCGCCGAAUUAACCUUGUGAACGACGUGGCUGUAUUGCCGAACGUGUUUUACACAUCCAGUGCGGUCCCCAUCAAAAUUCCAGAGACAUUCUUCGCAGAACUACAAGAAACAACCCCCAGUUUCCUGACAAAGCACUAAGGACCCCAAAAAGCCAAAGCAAUCCUGAGAAAAAAUAUCAAUGUUGGAGAGUGAAAAGGGAAAUCCCUCCACAGAAACUUUUUCAGAAUCCAGGAGACAAGAGAUAGUCUUAUACAUUUUCUGAAAACACCAGGAGGCAAAUAAGAAAUAUUGUCAAGCUAAUCUCAAAAAAAAAAAAAAAAAGAA